GACGAACGCUGGCGGCGCGCUUAACACAUGCAAGUCGAGCGAUGAAACUUUAACAGACCCCUUCGGGGCGAAGAUAAAGUGGAUUAUCGCCCGACGGUUGAGUAACACGUAGGUAACCUGCCUUAUACAUUGGGAUAGCUUCUGGAAACCGGGAUUAAUACCAAAUAAAAUCAUAAUGACACAUGUCAUAACGAUCAACACUCCAGUGGUCUAAGAUGUACUCGCUUCCCAUUAGCUAGUUGGUAGAGUAAAAGCCUACCAAGGCGACGAUGGGUAGCCGGCAUGAGAGGGUGACCGGCACCACUGGAAGUGGGAAACGGUCCAAACUCCUACGGGAGGCAGCAGUGGGGAAUAUUGCACAAUGGAGGGAACUCUGAUGCAGCGACGCCGCGUGAACGAAGAAGGCUUUAGAGUCGUAAAGUUCUUUUAUAUGGGAAGAUAAUGACGGUACCAUAAGAAAAAGCCCCGGCUAACUACGUG
rnacentral:rRNA from 1 species